AUUGAACGCUGGCGGCAGGCCUAACACAUGCAAGUCGAGUGGAUGAAGGGAGCUUGCUCCUGGAUUCAGCGGCGGACGGGUGAGUAAUGCCUAGGAAUCUGCCUGGUAGUGGGGGAUAACGUCCGGAAACGGGCGCUAAUACCGCAUACGUCCUGAGGGAGAAAGUGGGGGAUCUUCGGACCUCACGCUAUCAGAUGAGCCUAGGUCGGAUUAGCUAGUUGGUGGGGUAAAGGCCUACCAAGGCGACGAUCCGUAACUGGUCUGAGAGGAUGAUCAGUCACACUGGAACUGAGACACGGUCCAGACUCCUACGGGAGGCAGCAGUGGGGAAUAUUGGACAAUGGGCGAAAGCCUGAUCCAGCCAGGCCGCGUGUGUGAAGAAGGUCUUCGGAUUGUAAAGCACUUUAAGUUGGGAGGAAGGGCAGUAAGUUAAUACCUUGCUGUUUUGACGUUACCAACAGAAUAAGCACCGGCUAACUUCGUG
rnacentral:rRNA from 1 species